GAUGAACGCUGACAGAAUGCUUAACACAUGCAAGUCGAUGGGGAAGUGGUGCUUGCACCAUGGUAACCAUGGCGGACGGGUGAGUAACGCGUAAGGAACUUGCCUGCGGGACUGGGAUAACAGCAGGAAACUGCUGAUAAUACCGGAUAAGGUCAUUAAGCUGCAUAGCUUAGUGAUGAAAGGAGACGCCUGCGGAGAGCCUUGCGUCCUAUUAGCUAGUUGGAGGGGUAACGGCCCACCAAGGCGAAGAUAGGUAGCCGGCCUGAGAGGGUGGACGGCCACAAGGGGACUGAGAUACGGCCCUUACUCCUACGGGAGGCAGCAGUGGGGAAUAUUGGACAAUGGGGGCAACUCUGAUCCAGCAAUUCUGUGUGCACGAAGACGGUUUUCGGAUUGUAAAGUGCUUUCAGCAGGGAAGAAGGAAGUGACGGUACCUGCAGAAGAAGCGACGGCUAAAUACGUG
rnacentral:rRNA from 1 species